UGGCUCCAUAUAAAGGAAAGCCAGGAGUGUGUCCAAAUAACAAUCUUGCAGUAGCUUUUUUUAGUGGAGUGUAUAGAGUUGUGUUCUCAUGACAGUGAAUGUCGGAAUGAUGAUAAGUGCUGCAGCAAAGGAUGUGGACAUCAGUGUAUGCCUCCAUAUAAAGAAAAGCCAGGAGUGUGUCCAAGCAAAAACCUUGGAUUAGGAGCGUGUGCUGAGAUGUGUUCCCAAGAUGGUGAGUGUCCGAAUGAUGAGAAAUGCUGCAGCAAUGGAUGUGGACAUCAGUGUAUGGCUCUAUCUAAAGAAAAGCCAGGAGUGUGUCCAA